rnacentral:ncRNA from 1 species
UACGUAAAAAUGGUCCCAGUGCUUACAGGGCCAAUUAUACUCCACGAAAGCUAAGAAACAAACUGGGAUUAGAUACCCCACUAUGCUUAGCCCUAAAUCUAGAUGUUUACCCCUACCAAAACAUCCGCCCGAGAACUACGAGCACAAACGCUUAAAACUCUAAGGACUUGGCGGUGCCCUAAACCCACCUAGAGGAGCCUGUUCUAUAAUCGAUACUCCACGAUACACCCGACCAUCCCUUGCCCAAACAGCCUACAUACCGCCGUCACCAGCCCGCCUAAAUGAGAGUAUAGUAGCGAGCACAACAGCCCUCCGCUAAUAAGACAGGUCAAGGUAUAGCGAAUGAGAUGGAAGAAAUGGGCUACAUUUUCUAAUAUAGAAUAAUUCUUCAACGAACAAGGUAAUGAAAACCCCUUAGAAGGCGGAUUUAGCAGUAAGAUGAAACCAGAAAGUUCACCUUAAACUGGCUCUAGGGCACGUACAUACCGCCCGUCACCCUCCUCACAAGCAACUAUCCACAUAAAUAAUGAUCUAAACCAAAGCUGAAGAUGAGGUAAGUCGUAACAAGGUAAGUGUACCGGAAGGUGUACUUAGCAUAUCAGGACG